rnacentral:rRNA from 1 species
UACGGAGGGUGCUAGCGUUGUUCGGAAUCACUGGGCGUAAAGGGCGUGUAGGCGGUCUGUUAAGUCUGAUGUGAAAUCCCCUCGCUUAACGAGGGAACUGCGUCGGAUACUGGCAGACUCGAGUACCGGAGAGGAAGGUGGAAUUCCCGGUGUAGCGGUGAAAUGCGUAGAGAUCGGGAGGAACACCGGUGGCGAAGGCGGGUCUCUGGGCAUCUCCUGACGCUGAGGCGCGAAAGCGUGGGGAGCAAACGGG